rnacentral:rRNA from 1 species
UGCGUAACACGUAUGCAACCUACCUUUAACUGGGGUAUAGCUUGAAGAAAUUCAAAUUAAUCCCCCAUAAUAUAUUGGAAUCGCAUGAUUACAAUAUCAAAGCUCCGGCGGUUAAAGAUGGGCAUGCGUCCCAUUAGUUAGUUGGUGAGGUAACGGCUCACCAAGACCGCGAUGGGUAGCGGGUUUGAGAGGAUGAUCCGCCACACUGGUACUGAGACACGGACCAGACUCCUACGGGAGGCAGCAGUAGGGAAUAUUGGGCAAUGGACGAAAGUCUGACCCAGCCAUGCCGCGUGCAGGAAGACAGCCCUAUGGGUCGUAAACUGCUUUUAUAUAGGAAGAAACCCCUUGUUUCUACAAGGGCUGACGGUACUAUACGAAUAAGGAUCGGCUAACUCCGUGCCAGCAGCCGCGGUAAUACGGAGGAUCCAAGCGUUGUCCGGAUUUAUUGGGUUUAAAGGGUGCGUAGGCGGGACAAUAAGUCAGUGGUGAAAGCCUGCAGCUUAACUGUAGAAUUGCCAUUGAAACUGUUGUUCUUGAGUCCGGUUGAGGUUGAUGGAAUAUAUCAUGUAGCGGUGAAAUGCUUAGAUAUGAUAUAGAACACCAAUUGCGAAGGCAGUCAACUAAACCGGUACUGACGCUGAGGCACGAAAGCGUGGGGAGCGAACAGGAUUAGAUACCCUGGUAGUCCACGCUGUAAACGAUGUUCACUCGCUGUUGGCGAUACACUGUCAGCGGCCA